rnacentral:rRNA from 1 species
UACGGAGGGUGCAAGCGUUAUCCGGAUUCACUGGGUUUAAAGGGCGCGUAGGCGGUCAGCACAAGUCAGUUGUGAAAUCUCCGGGCUUAACUCGGAAAGGUCAACUGAUACUGUGCGACUAGAGUGCAGAAGGGGCAACUGGAAUUCUCGGUGUAGCGGUGAAAUGCGUAGAUAUCGAGAGGAACACCUGCGGCGAAGGCGGGUUGCUGGGCUGACACUGACGCUGAUGCGCGAAAGCCAGGGGAGCGAACAGG